UGAAGAUUAUAACAUCAGUAGCAUAUUUAAAGAAGCCUGUGAUUUUAUAGAUUAUAUUGAGCAGAUUGGUCAGAUAGUUUCAGUUCAUUAUUUUGAGGGGAGAAGUGGAAGUGUUACUCUGGUUCUUGCUUACUUAUGCUCAGAAACAUGAACGCUGAAACAAAUCAAGGAGAGAAGAGUUUGAGUUCCAAAAGCUAACCCUCCAAUCAAAUCAAGAUAACUUUUGAUCCGGAGUUUCGAUUGCCGCACCGUUUGCAGCCACACGACCGCAGAGUCGAGCUCUACAAAGUCCAGUAUGUUGUAAGGUCAAUCUAGCUUGGAGAAUUAGCGGGCUCUUGUUUGAUUAAGGCACACACAAGGUAAGGAUCCUCAAACCAUAGUAAAUUCCUUGGUUAAUUGUGAAUGAGCAUUAAGUUGGUUCAUGUGAAUGUGAUAAUAUGCGUUAGGUAGUGUAUAUGUGAGAUUGGAACUCAAUUGAAGAGAUUGGAUGCUUGUUUAAGCCUUGGGUGCUGAG